rnacentral:ncRNA from 1 species
UUCGAGGAGCGCUGCAGCAACAAACAGGUUGUCAGGCUCGAUUAAUCAUCUAUUUUCAACGGCGCUCAUAU